rnacentral:rRNA from 1 species
GACGAACGCUGGCGGCGUGCCUAAUACAUGCAAGUUGAGCGCUGAAGGUUGGUCCUUGUACCAACUGGAUGAGCAGCGAACGGGUGAGUAACGCGUGGGGAAUCUGCCUUUGAGCGGGGGACAACAUUUGGAAACGAAUGCUAAUACCGCAUAAAAACUUUAAACACAAGUUUUAAGUUUGAAAGAUGCAAUUGCAUCAGUCAAAGAUGAUCCCGCGUCGGAUUAGCUAGUUGGUGAGAUAACGGCACACCAAGGCGACGAUACGUAGCCGACCUGAGAGGGUGACCGGGCAGAGUGGGACUGAGACACGGCCCAGACUGCUAGGGGAGGCAGCAGUGGGGAAUAUUGCACAAUGGAGGAAACUCUGAUGCAGCGACGCCGCGUGAGUGAAGAAGUAAUUCGUUAUGGAAAGCUCUAUCAGCAGGGAAGAUAGUGACGGUACCUGACUAAGAAGCUCCGGCUAAAUACGUG